UCCCGCAGCAACCCAGGAAAUGCCCCAGGAAAAAGCCCUAGGAAAUGCCUUGAAAGGACAGCUCUGCAGUAAGAAGGGCUUAUCUGAUGUACUCUGCUGGAAAGGUCCCUUUUGUCUGGGGAGCCAAAGUGCUUUCUCUUAGGAGGUGAUGCUCCUGACUGUUUGAUUACAUGGAAUCUGAGGUGAAAAUGCCCAACCAAAGAGAUCAGGAUUGCCAGGGAGUAAUUUGUGACUGCAGUCUGUCUGACAGGGAGAAAAGCAAAGCUGCUUGACAGAACAUCAAAGAAACUUCCAGCUCUCAGGUCUUCUCGUACCUCUGGACAGGACACCGGGCCUGAAGUGAUGGUGAAGAACACCUCAUACAAACAAAGAAACAAGCAGGGCCCAUUCCAGCCAGGCCGGGAGAUGGAUCAAGAAACUUCACAGCAGGGCAAUUUACAGACAAAGGUGCCAGCCCGGAGUUCCUGGUCCUUGUUGUGCAGGUCCUGCUUUCUGCUGUUCCCCCUGUGCUGCUGAAUACAGAUCUGCACAAACCCCUCCAGAGUCCUAAAUCCAGUCGAAAUACCUCUGUGGGAGAAAAAAAAAUAAAAUAAAAUAAGAACGAGCAGAGAAAUACCUGUUCUUCAAAAAUCAGCUUUAAGCUGAAAGAUUGCACAACUGCUUUAUUAUGAGCAUUUUAGGAUGCCUACACAGCUUCAUGGGCCAUUUCCCAGGUAGAAGUGGUUUCUCCAGGGAUGUUCUUGUCACUGCAGCAAGUUUAAUAUGAGCUGCCUGGCCGUCUGGGAACCGAGGCAGCAGGAGACAGGAGGAGUAGGGCUGAAGGGUGAGUGAUGUGGAGAAUACUUGCAAACAGGGCAAUGCAGAGGUGUCUUUGUCAAGAGUAGCUGUUGUUAAGAGUUUCGAUCAAUGAAUGUACUCAGUAGCCACUAUGAAUCUUUUAUAAGUGAGUCCUUCCAACUCCUUGGUAGGUUUGUAGGCUACUGUUUCACAUUUUCAGGGAUCUGGGCUCUCCUGUCAGGUACGUCCCUUUCCCAGGGUGGUUCUCUUGUGUGGAGCUGUAAAACCAUGAUUAUUACCAGCUUACCUGAUAAGAGUUUUUGGGGUCAUGCUCUGUCUCACAGCAGGAACAUGAAAAGAGGGACAAUGAUAAGAGCAGCAUCUCAGCCUCCCACCACUGUAACACUGAGGCUGUAUCUCACAAUGUCAAUGUAAUUAUUUGCUAAAAAGGACAAAUUCUGCUUUCCUGGUUUUGGUACCAUUCCUGGGAAGAGCUGCUGCUCUCCACUGAAUGAAUGCCUGUGUUAAAUUUGCAGAGUAUCCCAUGUCCUCUAUGGCACGUGUGCAUCUUCCAGACUUCAUCCUGGAGGGGAGGUGAAAAAUGUAACAGGUCUAGUCCGGAAUGUAAUUAAAGAUUUAUAAGUAGCCAUGCAUUUUUUAUGCAUAUAAAGUAAUAAGAGCUGUAGAGUUAAAGCAGAAAAGUGACAUUAAAUGGUUGCUCUUGCCAGUUUUCCACAAAAUAUGACCAAAGCACCAUUUCAGCAGCAGGGCUGCAAGACUGCACCCUCCAAUAGGGAGACAAUGAUUUGAUCAGGCUCCAGUUAAGGCCAGGAGCAUCCUCUGCCUGAGGGUCUGUUCAGUUUCUUUUGCAUAACAUUAAAAGAAGCUCAGCUGGUCAGACCAAAUGGCUAAUCAAGAGAUGUUUUGCAAUACGUCCUUUCAUUUCAUUCCAUAACCCACCACUUCAAAGCCAGGGUUUAAAAUAAAUAAAAGAAAAUAAAGGUGGUUGUGAUCUAAUUGGAAAGGAAGUGUUAACACAGGAUGGAUCUGUAACCCUCUGCUUGACAGAGAAGAAAUCUUCUGCUCCUUCUCUUCCUAUAUAUCUUCCAGUGUAUUAAUCUCUUUUCAGUGUUUUCUUUUUCCUGAGCAUCCCACUUUCUCUUUUUGCAGUUAGCUGCCAGAGAGAUGUAUUUUCUCCUACCGACUGCAUCAGAAUUUCCUAAGGUUAUGGGAACUGGUGCUUCUGGGGAAUUAUUGAAUUCAAGUUAUUUGGUGAUACUUCUUCCUGCUUCUGCAAGCUCUGCAGGACAGCCAAGGCAUAUAUCAUUUCAUUUUCUGGAACAUUUAGGUCACUGAUUUGUCUGCUAGCCUGGCAGUGUUUUAUUUUCAGAUUGUAUACGAACGAGUGUAAAGUUUUGUGAGUAUAAUAAAGUCAGUGUGAAAAGAGACUAAGGUUCAUCACAGGAUUUCUUGCAAGUUAAUUGUUGGAAGCACUGGCAUGCAAUCUGGCUUGCUUAUCGAAUUGAUUUAAAUGGUCGGAGCGAAAGUAUUGCAUAUAACUUGUCUUAAGAAAAGUGUGGUUUAGAAAUGUUACAAAAAAAAAAAAAAGUAAAUGCAAGCAGCUGGUAUCUUGCUGUUUUGUGACCUGCCUUAAGUGCUCUGUGUGGGGAAUCCUGUGGAUGGGAAAGCUCUGGCAUGUGCUGCUUUGCUGAAGGCCGCUUGAUGCAUCCCUUAUGGUGCCUUCUGUGCCCUACAGGAAGUUUUGGUCCAUCAGUUAGAAUUUGGGGGACAAAUAUUGAUUGCUUGGUGCCCCAAACACGCCAAGUAUUCUCUAAUUUUUCACUGAAUUCUACUGUUCUAUUCUUUGCCUCGGUGUAUUCGGUGAUAUGUGUUUUGGAGUAGCUGCAGUAUCAAAAUUGUUAAUUUUCUGCCACUCAGCACAUGUGCUGCUAUGCCCUCCAGCUUUUCCUCUUUGAAGCCCUGGCAUCCUGCUUCACUCAAGUGUUUCCUGUGAGAGAACUGAGCCUGCCUGCGUGGUCCUGGCAUGUUUCUAUUUGGCCUGAGAAGCUGAUCUUCACAAUUAUUGUCACCAAUUCAAGCCCAUCCAAGUAUCUGGCUUUGAGAAUAUUUGAAAUACUGCUGCCACUGUUUCAGAGACCCAGAUGUACUAGCCUGAAACAUUUAUGCUAUUAAAAGGGCUGUGAGAAAUUUUGGAUGAGGCUCACAUUGACUUUGCAGCCAAGAUUUCACCCUUUCAUUAUAAGACUAGCUUUCAAACUUUUGAUCAAACCAUGGACUAACAGAUUUAUCUCUCCCACCCCCCAAAAUCUAAUUUGCAAAUAUAAUCUUCAGCCUGAGACUUAGGUUGCAAUUGCUGCUGAUUGGAAUAGUGUGAGGGAAACAGGCUGAAUGAGGCUGUACAAUUCUUUAUCUGGUAUCAUUAAAUGAAAUGCCAGCAUUAGUUAAAAUAUCCACCAGAUGCCACAGGUUUAUACCUUAAGUGCAUUAUUCACUCCUUGUUCUUUGGUAUUUCCCUGAGGGUGGAAAGGACUGUAGUUAGAGGAGAAGAAACAAUGCUCUGAUCAAUCACAGACCUCUUGAAUUGCAAAUAAGAAUCAGCAACCAGCUCACAAACCUCUGUGCUGGUCUGCUGAGCUUUCUGCAACCCCCUCGUGUCAUUCUCCUAUGACUCUUUACAUAAUGUACGCGCUGAAAUCUUUCUCACUGUUUUAGUUGUUGGGGGCUUUUUAUAUUGCCAGUAAGGUGCUUUUAGGCUUGUAGAGCCUCUUGAAACAGAGCCACUCUACCUUCCUGUCAGCACAGAGCCCAUCGUGUGGGAGCCAGGGUGACAGGCCACUGACAGCAGCACCCUAACAGAGCACCUCUAUGGUACCUGAGUACAAGCAGUUAUUAUCUUUUAUAGUAUGUGAAGAAAUGAGUAAUGAUCUGAGAAAUGGUGUGCCGAGCUGCUGAUGUAGUCAAGUGGCUGGUGAUUUUACAACUACCUUGUAAGAAUGUGAAUAUUUUCUCCAUCUACGGCAGACACCAGUGUGACUCCACUGGGAUCUCACUGCUUUAGAGCCAUCGAGGCCUCUGUGACACAGCUGCCAGAAGGGACUGCCUGUGCUGCUGCAGAGAGAUGCUGCUGGGAACAUCUGCAGCUCCCCGUGGUCUUCUCUUCCAUUACAGGGAAUUCUCGGGUGUUCCAGGCACAGAACAACAAAUAAUGCCUUGAUCCCACAGGGUUUUCUCUUUGCCAUCUGAGAAGAUGUUUAAAAAGUUCCUGCCAUGCAUUUGGAACAGGGGCUUGCAGGGAGUUGUGUGAAUAUUCCCCCCUUUGCCUUGCUCUCAUGAUCAGAUUGAGACCAAAUGCCUGCUUUGAAAAUACACUCCAGAGAAACCAAAGCCAUUGAAAUCCUACCUGGAUUCCUGAUGGAAAUGUAGAGGACUGGGAGAGUUGCAAAGCGACAGGAUAACUCAAGCUUUUUCUUCUGUCUGUAAGCUGAAAAACGUGAUGGAACAUUGUGUGAGCUCCUGAGCAAGGCAAGCUUUGUUCAGUGGUGCUUUUUAGUUAGAGGUGUGCUGAUGAUGGUUUCAAUUCUGUUGACAUCUGGUUGUUGGAAAGGGCUAAAAUGUUUUAUUACCCUGGUUUCAGAUAAGGGCAUGUCUAAAUAGGAAGUCAUUUGAAAAAGAACUCUUCCCUGGCCUUUACAUUUUGCUUAAAAUGUUUGACAAAAUUGGAUUUUAUUCUUGACUCAGGAAUAGAUAAAGAAUAUAUUGAGAAAGCAGCAAGUUGUGUGUAAAGCAACUGGAGCUGCCUUGCCUUAAGACUGUUUUUAUUCAGGUGUCUGUUAUAAUAAUUCACUUACACUGUGCUCCCUUAUCAGAUUUUCCUGGAGAUCUCUGCUGUGUGCAAACAUAAAGGAACUUGGAAGCCGCUAAGCUUUCUGAAAUGUUAAUGCAAACACAUUGCAUAUGUAGGACUAGUGAGCAUUUUCCAAGCAUUUAUCAGGCUGUGACUAACUGAUUCAUUAGCUAAAAAUCGACUGCUAUUGGUUUUGGGCAAGCCUGUGCCACGUGGUUUUGGUUUGCAGGGGUGGUUUAUCAUGGCACUUCUACCCACUGCACGGAGCUAUCUCCAUCUGAACCAGGAGCUGCUGGGCAAUAAGCACUUCUAAGGAACAGUUUCCCUUGCUUAUUAAUUGGCAAUGACUGUAGGAAAAUACUCCAUGAUCUAGUGGCACCUCUGCCUCCAUAAUGCCGUCCCAGACUUCAAAGCCUGUGUGGACGAGGUCUGACAUCUGGUGAGGGUGCAGGAGUACAAGCCGGGGCAGAAUGUACCCACUGGUAAUACGAACAUCAGGAUCCCUUCUCUCCUGCUUGUCUGGGUGGAUAAUCUGAGACUUAAUUUUAAUUGCAUUAAUCUUUUGCCCAGUAGCACAGCAGAUUGUGCCCAGAGAAGACUUCCACAGGCCUCAUGUUCCCAAGGAGUGUGGGCUUUACGUGGAAAUAGCAACGAUGCUGGUGCCAAGAGGCUUGUUUCAGGCUGGGCUAACUUGCUUUUCCCCUAGUUCAUUUGCUGCUGAGUCUAGAAACAGGGAUAUCUGGGAUGGGUUUGGGCAGUUUCAGCUUUGUCCCUCUUAUCCAUUUAGCUCAAAUGUCAAACC